AUCUUUGGGAAUGGAACAUCAGUAGAACUGACCUGUCCUGUGGAUCCCACUGUGUUCUAUCUGGGAGCAGCUUUGGGAAUCUGUGUGAUUGUGAUCUGUGUUCAAGCCAUUCGAAACUGCAGCGGGAGAGAUCACGAUUUGUUGGUGGAGAACAAAGCGAGUCAGGUACUACAUGUUCUCUCAUCCACACUGACGCUGUUUAAUUCUUAUAGAGUUCUCUAAUCUUCAGCCUUUAAUAUUUCAUAUUCAUCUCUACAGA